UCUCCCUCCUCCGACGUCUUCCGGCCACGACCCGGCCCUCUCCGUGAUCGCCGUGCUCCGCCAAGUCGCCCUCUGCCAUCGAUUUGCUCCGCCGCUGCCCCGAAAGCUGGAUCGAAGGAGCCACAGUUCCGAUCGGUGACCCGGCCGGACUUCCCGUUUUCCGGCAUCUCCUCGGCCGAUCCUUCCCAUUUUCGUGAUCUCCUCCUCAUGCUGAUCAUCCCUAUGUACUUGACGGUUUGAGUUGACGAGCGUUUGGAAUAUCGUUAUAAUUGACUUUUUGGAAGACGCAGCUGGAUUAGAGCGGGUAAUCUCACAGGUCAGGAGAAUCAGGGCAGUGAUCGUGCGGUUUAGAGUAUUAGUAUUGGAUUUAUAGCAUUUGUUUUGUGAGGAGAAUUUUACUCAUUGAGUUUUACAAUUUGAUUUGGUGAGAGUGUGCUGUAAUAAGUAGCUUGAGGAUUUGGUUUCUGUAAUAUCAAGAGGUGUAUUUAGUGGUUGUUUUCUGAGAGAAAAAUUCAGAACGU